AAACCUUGAUGACGUGAAGGUAACUUACAAGAUUAAAAUAAAAUUUGGUUGAUGGUUCUGAACAGAUACAGCUCUUUUACUUGAGAAACCAUUUUGAAGACUGAGACCAUGGAGUUUUAUAUCUGAGGAUAAAGGAAAUCUUUGCAGAAGUCUGUAUUUUAUAUAGCAAAAAUGUGAAUCCUGAGACUGAAUCUCUAAAGGGCCUGUACAACGUAAUAGAUGUUGGUGGAAGCAUUUACACCCACAGCUUGAAGAGUCUCAAAUGGACCCUACCGCUGAGAAAUCAAGAUGGCAGUCCACUAUGGGGAAUAGAGGAAAAUGGAUUAAUACAAGAGUGCUGUGCUAAUACACAACCAGGGUUCUUUUAACAUGGAUUUCAUGAAAUGAAUGAAGACAAUAGGUUUCUUACCCAACACAGAUGGACAGUGGAUUUGACUUUCUAAAGACUUUUUGUAUCAUUAAACAAGCCCAUUUUUGACAUUUGGAGAUGAAAGAUGGCACGUUAACAGAUCAUAGUUUGUAUGUCUGGAAUUUUUCUCAAUUUGAUUUGUAUGAAUAUGACCUUGUGAAAUGUUAACUUUAAUAAAAUUUCGAACACUUUAAAAUU